GGAUUUCUUGAAUAUGUACUUCAGCGAUGUAUAUAAGCCUAUUCCUCUGGUCUACAAUCUUGUCCUUGCCAUGCUGUGGCGGCAUCCUGAGAAUGUAGAGCUUGAUAAAGUGAAAGUUGUUCACUACUGUGCAGCGGUGAGUACCAAAGAAGAUUGAUUUUGGGAGAUUAAUUCGCAAGUUAUAACCUGUGGUGGUUAUGUAUACUAAUACAAAUAUUUGUGAACGGUAUACCAGGGGUCGAAGCCAUGGAGGUACACAGGGAAGGAGGACAACAUGCAGAGAGAGGACAUUAAGAUGCUGGUAAACAAAUGGUGGGAGAUAUACAAUGACAAGUCAUUGGAUUACAAGAAGACGAGGAUGAUGGCGAAUGAUUACAGCAGUGUUUUGCCGGGGGAGCAGGUGAAUUUGGAGCCGUUCAUUGCAGCUCUUUCCGAGGUGGGGCAUGUUGAAUUUGUGAGAGCCCCUUCAGCAGCCUAGAAGAGGCCAGUACUCUCGUGGAGAAGAGGAUCCAAGGGGCAUGCAAGCAGAUGACCGGUGAAUUUCCAUUUUCGAGAUGAAAAUGUUGGUUAUUUUUGUGGUUUGGGGGUUUGUCACGGUUAGUGAAUUUUUACGUUGUUCACUUGUAAUAUCCUUAAUGAUUGCCCACUACAAGGCAAAUUACUUCCAGUCAUACAUAAAAUCUCAAAGACACUCUGUUUUAUCUGCUGUUGAACUCUGUUUUUUUUUUUUUUUUUGCUCUUUUUCUCCCUCCUUUUUCUUUUUAUUUAUUUAUUUUCUUUGGGAAAUGGAAUUGAAAUACGUGGGACAAGAAUCGUAUAGGCUUAUUUGAGACAACAAAACAUCCACCCAGUCCCAGUCGCGGACCUGUUAUGGUGAAGGCAAGUUGAUUAAGGACGGUACAGCAGGGCACUUAAUUAUGGCUAGGUUAUAUCCCAACUUGUGGGUAGAAAAAAAAGGGUAAUAUUAAAAUGAGAACCAAUUUAAAAAGCAUUUUUGAAUUUAAUUUAAUUUUAAUUUAUUUGUUAUUUAUAAUUUUGAAGUUAAUUUUAACUUAUUUAUUAAGAGGAAAAAUUAUACUUAUAAGAAGGAUUAAAUGUACAUAAAAAAAAAUAUUCGUAUGUGAAAAGAAAAGAAAUAUUGAAAAAUAGUAAGAAAACUUUAUUUUAGGCAUAACUAAUGAUUGGUUGAAAGUUUUCAUUAUCAUUCUCAUUUGACAUUUCUUUUUACCAUAUAAGUGAUUUGAUUUGAAUGGAAAGUUGGAUACUAGAUCUUUAAGGAUAAGGAAGGAGAUUAAUUUAAUCAGAUUUCUUUUUAUCUCUUUUACUUUUUUAAAUUAAAAGAAAAUAAAAAAAAUAGAGAGAAAAAAAUAAAAGAAAUAAAAAAUAGAUUUAAAAUUAAUAAAUUAUUUUUAUAUAUAUUUUAAAACUCAUUUCACUUAUUUCCUAUAUAAUUUUAAAAUAUAUAAAUUAUUAAUUAAUUUUAAUUAUAUUUAUUUUUUUUAUAAUGAAACUAAAAAUUAAAAAAAAUAUUAUAUAUAAGGGUGGAGGUUAAUUUAAUUACAUCUUUUCUUAAUUUAUUUUAAAUUUUUAUCUGCUUAGUUUUAAUAUUGAGGGAAAAUACUAAAAAAAGAAAAGAAAAAAUAAAAAAAUAAAAAAGAAAAUUAGAAAAUAAUUUUAAAAUUAAUAAAUUAUUUUUAUGUGUUUUUUCAAAGUUAUUUCACAUGUUUCUCUAUGUAAUAUAAGGAUUAAAUAAAUUUUAAAUAUUUUAAAUUUAAUUAUAAUUGAUUUUUUUAUAUAACAAAAUUAAAUAUAAAAAAUCAUUUUUCUUAAUAUUUUAUUUUAUUUUUAUUGUUUUUUGUUUAGUAUGCAGAAGCUCUCAUUCCACUUGUGUCGGCAAAAACAUCAUUGUAAAUAUAUUAAAAGAAAAACAUAAAAAAUAAAGCAAAUCACGUAAAAGGUACACAAAGUUUUAAUAUGAUUUGAUCAAUUAUGACUAUUUUCACCAAUGAGAAAGAACAUUUUAUCAUAUGAUAGAAAAUAUUAUAAAGAACAAAAAUCUAAAAAAAUACAAUUACGAGAUCUCUAUCUUAAAAUAUGAGCCGUUUUACUUCAUUAAAUGUUUUUUUUUUUCAUCACAUUUACUUCCCAGUAAACCCCCUUUCUCUACUAGAUGUAUGUCGUUCUUUCUCAUAUUUUUAUUCCAUCUCUCUCAUAACUUUUUUUUAAAAUAAAAUAUUUAUAAAGAUAUUUCUAUUAACUUCGUAAGAAUCUAAUUAUUAUCACAUAUAAAUUAAAAAAUAUUAUAUAUAAUAUUUCUUUUACAAAUAUAUUCCCCAUCACUUUCCCGCCAAACAUAGGAUAAAUGAUGCUCUUUAUGUCCUAAUCUUUCCAAACUUUCAAGUAUUCUUUUACUUAGAAAUUACAAAUUUGAUACAAAUUGGGCCACCAUUUGAGAGUCCAAUCCCUCCAGCCAGAUUUAUAGGUGAGUUUAACUUGAAUUGAAGAAGUAGGAAUGUAAAAAUACUGGGAUUGACAUGAAUUCAAGAUCAGAAAACCCCCGAAAGCCAAAUCCAGCACAUUAUUGAUUUAUUUUUAUUUUAUUAUAAUAUAAAAAACAUAAAUUAUAAAAAAACAUAAAUUAUAAAAAAACACUAACUUUCUUAAUUUUUAAUUACAUUUUAAUUAUUAAAAUAUCUUUAAUAGUUAUAGUUAAAGUUUGAGCUUAUGAAUAAUUAUUUAUGUUAAAAUAAUAAUUAAUAAUUUACAGUUUUGACACCUUUUUGUUUUUUGACUUGAAGAAAAAAAAUAGUAGUAACUUAUAUAAAAAAUGAAAAAUUUUAUUAAAAAAAAUUAAACUUAUUUCAUGUCUUUAAAAAAUUACUUUUAGAAAUGUAAGUUAAAUAGAUUUUAAAAACUAUAAUUUUUCUUUAAUAUAAGUUGUUAUUUUUUAUAGGUUGAAUAUAACAUGAAAUAGGACAAGAUAAUAUAUCAUAUCUCAUUUUUUAUUGGUAAUAUUAGGGGUGCAACUUGUACGGGUUGGUUUGACCCAAUUGGAACCCAAUCCAAUGUUUGGGUGAACUUAGGCAAAUAUUUCCAUUACUUGAGUUAAACUUGAAUUAAGUUUUUUCAACUCGAAUUCAAUUUGAAUUGGAUCCAAGCUAAGGUUUAAAAAACUCGAGGAUAACUCGAACUUGAUUUAAUAUUUUUAUGAUAUUUAUAAUGUUAAUGUUUAUUAUUUUAAAUGAUAAUAUUCAUUUUCUUUUUAAUUUUGGAAGAAAAAAAUAUCAAAUUAUAAUUAUAUCACACAGUUAUUACUUUUUAAAAAAGAUAUAUAAGUUUAUUUUUACUUUUUUUUAUUAUCUUGAAAUUUUGUGCUAUUUAUUAUUUAAAUUUUGAUAUAAAUAUAUAGAAAAUAAGUUUUUUUAAAAACUAUUAUAGAUGAAUUUUAAAUCUUUCAGCACAAUGAAUCCAAAUAAUUUGAGUCUAACUCAAUCAACUCGAGUUUAACCCAAUCAACUCGAUCAACUUGAGAUCAACUUGAAUUUAGAAAAUAAGGUUAGGCUAGGCUUGGGUUAAGUACUUUGGGUUAGAGGACGAGUUAUGUUAACCUUAACUUGAUUCUUUCUUAAUUUGUGUUGGAUUUGAGUUAGCUAUUAACUCAACCAACUCGCCCAAGUUGCCAUCCAAGUUGCAGCCCCAAGUAAUAUUUUAGGAUAAGUUAUCUUAUCAUAUUUCAUAUAUUAUAUCUUAUAUUUAACAAAAUAGGAUAUUUAACAAAAUAUGCGUUUGGUAUAAAAUAGGUAGUAAGAUACUUUGGUAUAAAAUAGGUAGUAAGAUACUAAGAUAAAAUGUCUUUUUUCUCUUUUUAUUUUUUUUCUUUUAUACAUAUUAAUUUUAAAUAAUACUCUUUAUUUAUUUAUUAUAAUAUCUAAUGGACACUACAAAACGUUGUAUAGAUCACCUAGUAAAAUGAAAAUAUUAAAUCAAAUUAAAAGUGUGUUCAACUAUUAUUUUAGAAAGUAUUUCUAAUUUUUCUAAGAUUUCAGUAUUAAAUAUAUUAGAAGCAUUUCUUAAAAUCAUUGUGAAAUAAACUCUAAUUUAUAUAUUUAAAAAUCACUUUUAUAAAUUUUAAAAUUUAAGUUACUAAAAUUCUUUUGAUGUCUUAAUUUUUUAAAUAAUUUUUAAAACUUUUAUUUAUUUUUAAAUAAAAGGAAAUCUAUUAGUUUUUGGAUCUUCCCAUAUUGUUUACCAUUAACAGCCAUGAGGCGUUACCUCUUUUUUUUUUUUUUUUUAAUCGUGAAGUUCGAUUGACGUGUAAUUCUGCUUAAAAUAAAUUAAGUGUAUGUUUAACAAAAAAUUUUAAAAGUAUUUUUAAUUUAAAAGGUAUUUAAAAAAAAACAUAAGAUGAAAUUACUUAUAAUGUUAUUUGGUGAAACAUUUUAUAGAUAUAUUCUUUUAAAAAAUAUUAAGAAAAUACUUUCAUUUUAAAACAUGGAGAACAUUCUUAAAUGUGCUUUAUUUAAUUUCUAUUUUUUAAAAAAUUAAAAUUUAUUUUUUAAAUAAAAAUAGGAGAAUCCGACAUUUUUAUUAGCUAUAGAAUACUCUUUUUGUAAUAGAAAUGAUAAUAAGAUGAGUUUUUCUUUUGUUUUUCUUUUAUUUUUUAUUUUAUCUAUCCUGCCCUAAUGGAACAUGUUUAAAAUUUAAAUAAAUAAGUUGGAAAUAAGUUUGAGAUUUUUUAAAAAAUAUAUAACAGAUUUGGGUGUUAAGUCCUUAUACUCAUAUUAUGUACAAAAUUAAUUUACUUUAAUUUUAAAUUUUUUAUUUUUAAUAUGUAACAAUAAUAAAAAAUAUUUUUUAAUAUAAUAAAUUAUAAAAAAUUAUAGUAUUUUAAUUAUUUAUAAAAUAUAUUUAUUUUAAUAUAAUAAAAAAAAAGUUAGAUUGAAUGGGCGAGGCAAGAUAAGUAUAAGAAAUUUGCGUACCAUUAAGACUCUCUUCCACAUGCCACGUCUCCAGAACCUUCCCGGUGACACUGCACAACCGUUGGAUCAUACCUGAGGCACGUGUCAGCAGGCAACCCAAGAUCACAUGACCUAUGAAGUUACCAAAUUAUGCUCACCCUCUUCAAUUUUAAAUAUCAUUUAUCGCUUAUUUAAGCCACAAACGCGCCAUCGGCAUCCUCAAUUAAGAAGGAAAGACAACCCAGAGUCAGAUUCUCCAGCCUCAGCUCUCUCUAGAACCGUCGUCUCUCUUCCUUCCCAUCCACUCUAGCACAUUCUCGCUCACAUGGCUCCUGAAAUCAUCUCCGCUUCGGGAAAACCGUCCGGAUUUUUGAAACCGGCUAGUCUUCCGGACAGAGCAUACGUGGCCUUCUUGGCCGGUAACGGGGACUACGUGAAAGGUGUUGUUGGGUUAGCCAAGGGGCUGCGGAAGGUGAAAUCCGAUUACCCGCUUGUGGUGGCGGUGUUACCGGACGUGCCGGUGGAGCACAGCCGAGAACUGGAAUCCCAGGGGUGCAUCGUCAGAGAGAUUGUGCCGGUUUACAAGAACCAGACCCAGUUCGCCAUGGCCUAUUACGUUAUCAAUUAUUCAAAGAUCCGUAUCUGGGAGGUACGUGAUAGUACUUUCUCAUUACCUCUAUCACUAUUUUUGUCAUUUUGCAUGAAUCUUUGCAUGAUUUGUAGAUUUACAUGCCAUUUUUGUAUGAAUCAGUUCGUGGAGUACAGUAAGAUGAUAUACUUGGAUGGGGAUAUUCAAGUCUACGAUAACAUUGACCACCUCUUUGAGCUACCAGACGGACAUUUCUAUGCAGUGAUGGACUGUUUCUGUGAGAAAACAUGGAGUCACACGCCACAGUACAAGAUUGGAGACUGCCAACAGUGUCCGGAAAAGGUUCAGUGGCCGGCGGAGCUGGGUCAGCCGCCUUCACUUUACUUCAACGCAGGCAUGUUUGUGUUUGAGCCCAGCCUCUCCACCUAUGAAGAUCUCUGGGAAACCCUCAGGAUCACCCCUGCAACCCCUUUUGCAGAGCAGGUAAACACAUAAGCUUUUGCUGAUGAUAUUCUUCCAACAUAAUCCGGUUGUGGUUCUGGGAUUUUGUUAUUUAGGAAAAUGUGUAUGUGUUUUUGGCAGGAUUUCUUGAAUAUGUACUUCAGGGAUGUAUAUAAGCCUAUUCCUCUGGUCUACAAUCUUGUCCUUGCCAUGCUGUGGCGGCAUCCUGAGAAUGUAGAGCUUGAUAAAGUGAAAGUUGUUCACUACUGUGCAGCGGUGAGUACCACAGAAGAUUGAUUUUGGGAGAUUAAUUCGUAAGUUAUAACCUGUGGUGGUUAUGUAUACUAAUACAAAUAUUAGUGAAUGGUAUACCAGGGGUCGAAGCCAUGGAGGUACACAGGGAAGGAGGACAACAUGCAGAGAGAGGACAUUAAGAUGCUGGUAAACAAAUGGUGGGAGAUAUACAAUGACAAGUCAUUGGAUUACAAGAAGACGAGGAUGAUGGCGAAUGAUUACAGCAGCGUUUUGCCGGGGGAGCAGGUGAAUUUGGAGCCUUUCAUUGCAGCUCUUUCCGAGGUGGGGCAUGUUGAAUUUGUGAGAGCCCCUUCAGCAGCCUAGAAGAGGCCAGUACUCUCGUGGAGAAGAGGAUCCAAGGGGCAUGCAAUCAGA
rnacentral:lncRNA from 1 species